ACUAUAACCUCUGUCUCCUAGGUUCAAGCAAUUCUCCUGUCUCAACCACCCUAGGAGCUGGAACUACAGGCGCCCACCACUAUGUCUUGCUAAUUUUUGUAUUUUUAGUAGAGACGGGAUUUCACCAUAAUGUCAGGCUGGUCUUGAACUACUGACUUCAGGUGAUCCACCCGCCUUGGCCUCCCAUCUUUUGUGUUUUUUUUUUUUUUGCAGGGAAAGGGAUUGGUGCCAGUUCAUUUUGUCUAUGUAAAUGUGAUAUUAAUUCUAAGAAGUUAUAUCAA
rnacentral:lncRNA from 1 species